AACUUAAUAGCUUAUAAUUUAAAGUGGGGUUUUGAAGAAGCUUAGAAGAUUUUAUCUGUAGUUG
rnacentral:tRNA from 1 species